rnacentral:rRNA from 1 species
AAUGAACGCUGGCGGCAUGCCUAACACAUGCAAGUCGAGCGAGUGGCGGACGGGUGAGUAAUGUAUGGGGACUGCCCGAUGGAGGGGGAUCACUACUGGAAACGGUAGCUCAUACCGCAUACUACCCGAAAUCCCAUAUGGGAUUAGCUAGUAGGCGAGGUAAUGGCUCACCUAGGCGACGAUCCCUAGCUGGUGUGAGAGGAUGAUCAGCCACACUGGGACUGAGACACGGCCCAGACUCCUACGGAGGCAGCAGUGGGGAAUAUUGCACAAUGGGCGCAAGCCUGAUGCAGCCAUGCCGCGAGUAUGAAGAAGGCCCUAGGGUUGUAAAGUACUUUCAGUCGGGAGGCGUUACCGACAGAAGAAGCACCGGCUAACUCCGUGCCAGCAGCCGCGGUAAUUC